GACGAACGCUGGCGGCGUGCCUAAUACAUGCAAGUCGAACGCACAGUUUAUACCGUAGCUUGCUACACCAUAAACUGUGAGUUGCGAACGGGUGAGUAACGCGUAGGUAACCUGACUGGUAGCGGGGGAGAAAUACUGGAAACGAUAGCUAAUACCGAAUAAUCUUGAUUAUUGCAUGAUAAUUGAUUGAAAGAUGCUAUUGCAUCACUACCAGAUGACCCUGCGUUGUAUUUGCUAGUAGGUGAGGUAACGGCCCACCUAGGCGGCGGUACAUAGCCGACCUGGGAGGGGGAUCAGCCACACUGGGACUUAGAAACGGGCCAGACUCCUACGGGAGGCAGCAGUAGGGAAGCUUCGGCAAUGGACGAAAGGCUGACCGAGCAACGCCGCGUGAGUGAAGAAGGUUUUCGGAUCGGAAAGCUCUGUUGUAAGAGAAGAACGGGUGUGAGAGUGGAAAGUUCACACUGUGACGGUAGCUUACCAGAAAGGGACGGCUAACUACGUG
rnacentral:rRNA from 1 species